rnacentral:lncRNA from 1 species
CUGUGUAUUUUUCCAUGUAUGACUCCUCUCUUUUUAUUUGCCACCUGUGGUGAUAUCUUGUUUGUACAAAGAAAGCCUGUCUGAGGGUCAAAGAAUGGAGCUUGCCAUUAGCUAACCAUAGAGGUCUGGAGGUCUGUACAGACAGACAGGAAGUGAGAUAGCUGGGCAGAAACAGGAAGUAAGAUGGCUGGGCAGAAACAGGCUGUAAACAAGGAGAAACUGGAACUCACGCUCUUGCCUGCUGAGACAAUUAAAGAGGCUUGAUACCAUUUGUGGCUGAACCACGGUACCCCUAGUCCUGCCUCUUCUGCCCUUUGUGGAGCUGGACUCCAAGUCCUGCUUAAGAGACCUCCAGAGUUAAUGUUCCCUGCACCUGCUAGCCUAUGACCCACCCCACUCACUCCACAGGUUGGGGACUAUGUGGAAUUUGAACCCAGAGUUCCAAACAAAACCUCUGAUCUGAGCCCAUUCCAAGGCUGAACUCACAAACAAACAAAAAACAAAACAAAACAAAAAAACAGAGUGACCCCAAGACUGAAAAGCAUUGCUCUUCAAGUCCACAGCCUAUUGAAUUGGGGUAACACCCACCCAACAAAGGAGAGACCAGAUAUUCACACCCAAGAAACACUACAAGCAUCAUAACUCUAAAUGCUUAAAUCCUUUUAAAAAAUGCAAACAUGAACAACAAAGACAAUAUGAGUCCUCCCAAAACUAGUACCCCUAUUGUAAUAUAUCCUGAGCAAAGCAAUUUAUCUGAAGUGCAAACCAGGAACUUUAAAAAAUAGCAAUUAUGAAUAUGUUCAAGGACCUCAGGGAGGAUAUGAAUAUAUGUCUCGAUGAAGAUUGGAAACACAGAUUCACAGGUGAAUAAAACAGUGAAAGCGAUUCAAGAUGUAAUCCCUGCUAAACAAAAGCCAGACUGAACUAGAGCUGGAAAUGUCAAACUCUGGAAGUCAGACCAAAAGCACGGAGUGAAGCCUUACUGACAGAUUGGAAGCCAUGAGAAUUCCAGGUCUUGAAGACAAGACUGGAGAAAGGGAUAGCUCAGUCAAAGAAAAGGUUAAGUCUGAAAAACUCCAGGCAUAAAACAUCCAGGGAAUCUGGGACACUGUGAAAGACCAACCCUGAGAAUAAGUAUAGAGGAAGAAGAAUCCCAGGUCAAACAUACAGAAAAUAUUUUUUAGCAACAACAAAUCAGAAAAUUUUCCCAAUCUAAGAAAAGAGAUGCUUUUAAAGGCAUGAGAGGCAUACAGAACACUAGAGAGACUGGAUGAGAAAAGAAACUCCCUGCAGUACAUAAAAAUGAAACACAAAACACGGAACAAAGAAUGUUAAAAGCUGCAAGGGAAAAAGACCAUGGCCCAACAGAAUAGCAUUUUUCUUUUUGUAUUAAUUUUUUAAAAAUUCAUUUUACAUUCCAACAAAAGUUCUCUCUUCCACCCCUCUUCCCACCUCCCUUGUCUCCCCCCCCCACAGCCCAUCCCCCAUCCACUCCUCCCAACAGGUAAGGGCUCCCAUAGGAGUUGACAGCAUCUGGCACAUUAAGGAGAGAUGGCUCAGCUGUUAAAGGCUAGGCUCACAACCAAAAAUAUUAGAAUAGUAUUUUUCAAUGAAGACUCUGAAAGCCAGAGGGCCCAGAUGGAUGGUCUACAAACUCAAAAAGAGCACAGAUGCCAGGCCAAACUACUAUGCCCAGCAAAAUUAUCAGUGCAAUUAAAGGAGAAAGAAAAAAUUUCAUGAUAAAAAUUAAGUAAUUUCCACAAAUCCAGCUCUCCAGAAGGCACUAGAAAUUUUCAGUCUGAAGAGUGGCUAAAUAUAACCAAGAGGACAUAAGGAAUAAGUAAUCCCAGAUCCAGUUAAUCAAAGAUGAGAAGAAAAACCACUACCACAACAAAAUAACAGGAAUUAAUAAAUACUGUUCAAUAAUAAUUCAAUAUUAAUGGCCUCAAUUCCCCAGUAAAGAGACACAGAGUAACAGAUCGGAAAACAGGAUCCAUCUUUCUGUUGCCUCCAGUGAACAUAGCUUACCAAGGACAGAAAACAGGGUAAAAAGAUGGGAAAGGAUGUCCUAAGCAAAUGGAACCAAGAAGUAAGCAGAAAUAACUUUUUAAUAUCUGACAAUAGACUUCAGACUAAAACUAAUCAAAAGAGAGAAGGACACCACAUACUCAUCAAAGGAAAAAAAAUCCACCAAGAGGACAUUAAAACUUUAAACAUAAUACUAGCGCAAGAGUUACACAAAUGUGUGGGAGCAACCAACCACUUUUUGAUUGGAUUUAAGGUCCAUUCCAAGAAAUGGAGCCCACACCUGACUCAUAUGGUCAUGGGCCAUAGAGGAAAACAUUCUACUAUUAUUCUGAUAAAGGAACAUAGCAAUAAAAUGAUUUCUAAUGACAUAUUGCUAUAGCCAUACAUCAGUGAAACAUUAUCAGAGAGGUUUCUUCCUGUAGUAGAUGGUGACUAACAGAAACCUACAACUGGAAGUUGUGCAGACAGUGAGGACUUGGAGCAUUCAUCCCUAAGUGGGAUGUCUUUGUCAAAGCCCUCCCCUCAUGGCUUAGGGAUUCAUGCAAACGGGGAAGCAGAAUGAUUGUAAGACCCAGAGGUAAUGGAUGACUCCAAAGAAACAUUUUCAAAACACAACAGGGCUGAUGCAUGUAUGUACCAUAGAUGGUGGCAGUGUGCACAAGAUCUGCACAAACUCAAGCCAGACAAAAUCCCAGCAUGGAUAAAGUGAAGAGGACACAAAGCUCUGCCUCUAAUGGAGAAGUGGGUUUGACAA